rnacentral:rRNA from 1 species
UUCUGGCUCAGGAUGAACGCUGGCGGCGUGCCUAACACAUGCAAGUCGAGCGAUUUACUUCGGUAAAGAGCGGCGGACGGGUGAGUAACGCGUGGGUAACCUGCCUCAUACACAUGGAUAACAUACCGAAAGGUAUGCUAAUACAGGAUAAUAUAAGAGAUUCACAUGAAUUUCUUAUCAAAGCUCCGGCGGUAUGAGAUGGACCCGCGUCUGAUUAGCUAGUUGGUAAGGUAAUGGCUUACCAAGGCGACGAUCAGUAGCCGACCUGAGAGGGUGAUCGGCCACAUUGGAACUGAGACACGGUCCAAACUCCUACGGGAGGCAGCAGUGGGGAAUAUUGCACAAUGGGCGAAAGCCUGAUGCAGCAACGCCGCGUGAGUGAUGAAGGCCUUCGGGUCGUAAAACUCUGUCCUCAAGGAAGAUAAUGACGGUACUUGAGGAGGAAGCCCCGGCUAACUACGUGCCAGCCGCCGC